UCCCGUUUAGCUCAGUUGGUAGAGCGCGUCACUAGUACCUCAGCCGCCUUGCGGCAAUACCGUGAUGACGAGGUCAGUCGUUCGAGUCGGCUAAUGGGAA